GCGGCGUGCUUACACAUGCAAGUCGAGCGGAAAGGCCCCUUCGGGGGUACUCGAGCGGCGAACGGGUGAGUAACACGUGAGCAACCUGCCCCUGACUCUGGGAUAAGCCCGGGAAACUGGGUCUAAUACCGGAUAUGACCACUCCAGGCAUCUGGUGGUGGUGGAAAGUUUUUCGGUUGGGGAUGGGCUCGCGGCCUAUCAGCUUGUUGGUGGGGUGAUGGCCUACCAAGGCGACGACGGGUAACCGGCCUGAGAGGGCGACCGGUCACACUGGGACUGAGACACGGCCCAGACUCCUACGGGAGGCAGCAGUGGGGAAUAUUGCGCAAUGGGCGGAAGCCUGACGCAGCGACGCCGCGUGGGGGAUGACGGCCUUCGGGUUGUAAACCCCUUUCAGCAGGGACGAAGCUAACGUGACGGUACCUGCAGAAGAAGCGCCGGCUAACUACGUGCCAGCAGCCGCGGUAAUACGUAGGGCGCAAGCGUUGUCCGGAAUUAUUGGGCGUAAAGAGCUCGUAGGCGGUUUGUCGCGUCUGUCGUGAAAGCCCACGGCUUAACCGUGGGUCUGCGGUGGAUACGGGCAGACUAGAGGCAGGUAGGGGAGAAUGGAAUUCCCGGUGUAGCGGUGAAAUGCGCAGAUAUCGGGAGGAACACCGGUGGCGAAGGCGGUUCUCUGGGCCUGUACUGACGCUGAGGAGCGAAAGCGUGGGGAGCGAACAGGAUUAGAUACCCUGGUAGUCCACGCCGUAAACGUUGGGCGCUAGGUGUGGGGUUCUUCCACGGAUUCCGCGCCGUAGCUAACGCAUUAAGCGCCCCGCCUGGGGAGUACGGCCGCAAGGCUAAAACUCAAAGGAAUUGACGGGGGGCCCCCACAAGCGGCGGA
rnacentral:rRNA from 1 species